rnacentral:rRNA from 1 species
CAGCGCCACGAGUGGGGAUCGCUUUUAUUGGGCCUAAAGCGUCCGUAGCCGGUCUAGCGAAUCUCUUGUGAAAUCGUUCGGCUCAACCGAACGGCGUGCAGGAGACACUCCUAGACUAGGGACCGGGAGGGGUCAGAGGUAUUCUGGGGGGAGCGGUAAAAUGCUAUAAUCCCCGGAGGACCACCGGUGGCGAAGGCGUCUGACCAGAACGGAUCCGACGGUGAGGGACGAAAGCCAGGGGAGCAAUCCGGAUUAGAGACCCGCGUAGUCC